ensembl:lncRNA
GUGAACUCUCCAAGGUCCAGGCUUCUUCACCAGCUGAAGUUUUAAUUGUCUUGCUUAACACAGAAGCAACCAAUAUGAGCAUCAGCUGUGGGGUAAAUUUGUGGUCCCUGAAAUAUCCUGGUGCUACCUCCUGAGAGCACUCUUGUGUCAUGCUGCCCAAGUAACCUUCAGCUGCUGCACAGAUGGUCAUUAAAGAGUGGAUAUGUUCCCUGAAAAACUGGAAGAGGUCUCACAUCAGGAUCAGCACCCUCAUUAGGACAGUGAUUGAUGGAAGAAGAAAUUAUGCUUCUUUUCCCACAUCUUCUGCUGACACAAGAAGGAAAUCAUACUGAGACCAGGCCAGAGAAGCCAGGAAACCAUGCUGAUCUAUCUAAAAAAUCAGGAGGUAGUUGACUCAAACUGACUGUUACAUUCGAGUUUGUUUUCCUGUUGUGGCCCUGAACUUUGUAAAGUGGUACAACUCUUGAUUCACAGGUGUGCACAUAUAAAAUUUGAACCAGAUUGGUCCUCAGGGUUUCUGAACAAGAAUGGUAUGGAUGACCAGUGGGUGUUCAUAGCAGAAGUAGAUAGAAAUAUUUUCAUCAACUACUUUUCAUGUGCUUUCAGUUCAUCCUCACUCCUAACUAAAUGCCAAUAUGCUGCCUGUAAAAUGAGUGUACGUGAAAGUUCAAGACUUCAAACAGACUAAGGAAAAAUCUUCCACUGUUGCCUGCUGGAGAUUUUUUCAGAGAGACUAAACUGUUAAUUGCUUGUUAAGUUUGUCCUGUCUUCAUUUGCACUCAUGCAUUAAAAUGAGAGAGGAAGCCAUCAGAAUAUGAUGUUCCCAAUCUGAUUCCAGAUGACUUAAUGGAUAGGCUGAAAACCAGUGAGAGCGGGCUCUGAGAGUAGGAGACAAUAAAUACUAUUUGUUCAUUAAAUAGCCUGGGGUCUCAUGUUGUAGCCCAUUACCCGCUGACGACUUCUAUCAGGCUCUGAGAUGGGAGGUGAUGAUGCUGUAUGCCUGUUUCCACAUUGAAUUGAGAAUCCUACCCUUACUCCUGCUUCAAACGAUGAGGGAAGCACACUGCCUGUAUACUGCUCACCCCUAUAAUCUUUUCUGAGGUGGAUCUGGAAGGUUGCAUGUAGCAUGAGUCUGCUGGGAACAACAGCAUGCAGAACACUUCAUCCCAGCUGUGCUGGUUAGAGGAGAAGAGUGGUGAAAGAUGAAAAGAAUGAGAAAAUGCUUGUGGUUUUGUUUUGUUUUGUUUUAUAAAUGUUUGUUUUUAAUUACCAGCCUACAGGAAAAACUUUAUGCAAAAUAUUUUUUUUCCUUGUUUUCUUAAACUCCCUGGUGACAUCCAUUGAUGUGGUGGGCUAAUUGCUGCAGUGUACUAAUGUAGGAUACAAGUCCACAGAAUCCAAGCUUCUUCAGGAAAAUCAAUUCGGGAAGAAAUUCACUCUCCACACUGUCUGGAAGCCAAAGAGGGCAAGGCAGGCCAGGCCACCUGAGCCGCUCACCCUGGAGAUGAAGGCUCUGCUUACAAGACCAGUUAAUGAAUAGAACUCAAGUCCAUUGUGUAUGUCUUAAUUAGAUUCAGAAUAUCUGAAUUUACCAUUGUCAGCACGAGACAGCACUAAACAGCAGCUAGUGGCUCCAGCCAUUGAGGAUUAGAAGUGGAGGAUGCUGGCAAGUCCUUCAUGAGACUGCAAAAACUGCUAUGAACUGGUUGGAACACCUCUCCUAUGAAGAAAAACUGAGAAAGCUGAGACUGUUCAGCCUGGAGAAGGCUCAAGGGGAUCGCAUCAGUGUGCACAACUGCUUGAAGGGAGGAUGCAAAGAAGACAGAGCCAGGCUCUUUCCAGUGCUUCCCAGUGGCAGGACAAGAGGCAAUGGGCACAAACUGAAACACAAGGGGUUUCCUCUAAACAUCAGGAAGCACUUCUGUACUGUGCAGGUAAUGGAGCACUGGCACAGAUUGCCCAGAGAGGCUGUGGAGGCUCCUCCUUGGAGAUCUUCAAAAGCCGCCUGGAUGUGGGCCGGGACAAUCUGCUUGAGCAGGGAUUGGGCCAAAUGGACCCAGAGGUUCCCUUCAGCCUCAACCCUUCUGUGAUCUUGUGUUUACUUUCAUUAUUACUAGCUGACAAGUAGUGCUUCUAAAUGCCUUAAAAAGUUGAGGAAAUUUCACAAGAUUUUAUUUAUUUGUUUGUUUGUUUGUUUCUUUUGCUGUCUUUGCAUGGCAAAGACUUUCCUUUACUGGUAUUCUGACAAGAGAAAGUUCAGGCUCAAGCUGCUGGAUGUAUGUUUAUAUUGUCUUCUCAAUUUGUUUCCUGUGUUUAACUGUAGUGAGAGUUUUUUGAGGAUAGAGGGGUCUGAUCAUCACUUACUUUAAAUUGUAUAGUGCCAUUACUGCCCUAUAUCUGCUCCUAGAGUCUUAGUACUAAACUGAAAUGUACUUAUUUGCAGCCAUGCUAGAUUCCAUUGUCAUAUCUUAAUGUAGGAUAAUACUGUAAUUCAUUAAUAUUAUGUUCUUUAAUGAGGCCUGUGACUCUGUUUUUAUAUAGGAAUUUGCACUUGUGAUUUUCUUUGCUAAUUUAAGUACAUUGUCCACCAUCAACUUAAAAUCUAGUAUCAAUUUAAAAUUAGGAAAUGAUGAGUCCUGUGAGAAACAUCCCUUGCUUGUUAUUCUCUCAGGAUUACAGUGUGUGAGAAGUGUUCCAUGCUGCUUUUUAAUUCCUGUUUGUUAUUGAUUGUUUUUAGUUUGCAGUUUUACUUUUUGGUUCUCUGAAAAGUUCAAAGCUCGUAACUGGUAACAAAUGGGGCAAAACUAUUUAAACUUUCAUGUCAGAAAUUACACAAAAAGCCAAACGCAAGUGCUCUUAAAGUUUUGUUUACUUCUCAUGCCCCAUAUUAAUUGCACAGAUUCUCCUAUUGCCUCAUGAAGAACCGGAUCCUGGUUACAGCUGGGCAUUCAUUAGCAAGCAGAUCACACACACAGCUGUACAAUAUAUACAGACCUGAACUACAGUCUCCUCAACUGGUGAACACCCACCUCUGCCACUGAGCUCUGUGGAAAAUGAAAUCUAAAUUCAAGAUCAUAGAGGAACUUGAAGAAGGCAGAGACCAGUCAGGAAAGAUAAAAGCAACUGGAUUAUCGUAUUGGCAUUUUUUGGAACGUUGAUUUUGGCUGGUUAAUUUUCAGAUAAUUAAAGAUGUAGUCAGGUCUAGGGAUUUUAACAAGGCCAAGAAUUGGCCAAUGUUAGUGCCUUUCUCACAGCAUGAGUCCUUGGGCAUACCUCCUGUUGAUACAAACAAGCAAUUGAUCCUGAGCAACCAGAAACACUUAACAACUGAUAACAGUUGCUUAUCUGGUACUAUCAUCUGAGUUUCUCAGUUUCCAUUGCAAGCAAAUUUGGAGCUUUGUGGUACUGAUAGCAUUGUAGAACCGUUCUACAGCACGCCAUCCUUGCAGUAGAUUUGUUGAAAACCAUCUACCAGCUGAUAGGAAUCAACUGUUUGUUUUGAGAUUGUUUCAGGGAAGAAGUUUUUAUUAGCAAAACUGACUACAGCCAACCUCAUUUUCUCUCUCUGGCAGCUUGUUCCUAGCCACAACUUAGAGCUUGUCUUGGAAAUAUUAAUGCAGUUGAAUUUUGCAGUCGUGGCUGCAUAGUGAAACCAAGGAAAGAUCUCACUUCUGGUGCAGUCUUGUCAAUAUCUAACAGCUACAAUGAUCGUUUAUCAAUAAAAAGGAAAGUUUGAAAGAUGUGUGAUGUUAGAAGGUUAAUGAUGUGAGACUCAAGGAUGCAGACUGUAAUCUCGUUAGUAUGCUAUUAUGGCAAUACACAUUCAUAAUUCAGAGGUUUGAUAUACUUGGUGUUGAUUAAAAGAAUUAAUCCAGCCAGCUCACUGAGGGCAAUGUGCUAGCUGGCAGGCACUGGUAAACAACAAGGCAGAGCAGUGUAAUCACCUGUAAGGAUAAAUACAGGUGACGCAUUCACAAUAGUAGAAAGUAGAUGCCAGGCAGGCAGCAAACACUGCCAUUGCCUAUUUCUGGCCUGCUUGGACAAGCUGUGGGGAGGAGGAUCCACACUAGCAUUUGGAAGGGCAAAGAAAUCAAAGGACCAGGGACUCCCCAGUGAAGGAAGAGACAUUUCAACAGCAAAAGAAAAGAAAGGUUUGACAGGCAUGGAAAGUAUUGGUGAGAGAACCUUUAAUUGGAGGAGGGAAGGAAGAGUCAAAAGAAGCUGAAAGCUACAGCGUUAAAAUAAAGCAAGGCAAUCCAAACCAGAAAGAUGUGACACUGGGAGAAAGGUCUUUUCAUAGACCAGAGUAUAGAAAUGCUUAAUAUCAGUGAAGCCAAACAUUUAGUAUGUAUCAUCACGCGCAACGCUUAUGAAAAAAAAAAAAAACUUAAUUAACUUUCCUGUGUUCCAUUCUGGUUCUCUGUUUCUCCUUGUAAUCAAACACGGAUUAACUAAUGAAGAAUAUAUAGCCUGCAAGAUAUUUCUUCUGCAAACAAUACAUUCCAUUUUGAUUCAUUAAUGGCUUUUGGAUGUACUGAAGUUUAUCGGCAGAUUUACUUUUGGUCCCCAACACUGGCUUGCACUGUUGCAGGUAAAUUAUAUUCUAACAACAGACUUUUUUCAAAAAGAAAACUUUCGAGUGUGGGCAGCUGUACAAAAGCCCUUGUAUUUUAUUGUCAAACUAGACAUGGUAAGAACGUAACAGCAGUGAAAUAGAGGAUGUUAGCA